rnacentral:lncRNA from 1 species
AUUUGUCAUGAAAUCUUUUUUUUUUUCCUUUUAGAAGUCCAUUUUAGAAAACACUGGUCAGGAAAGUACAUUAUCCUCAAAGAGAUGGUGACAUCAUAGGAAAGCAAGCUAAAAUGGACUUUUGCGUAGAAAUUAAAUUGUUUUAGUUUUGAGUUCUUAAAUUGGAUUGAUUUAAGAAGGAUACAACCAUUUCUCAGGCCUGUGUAGAAAAGUUAAGUUUGGUGCAGGUGGAAGGCUUAACCAUACAAAGAGCAAGACCAGGUCAAAGGUCUUCCCAAGAAAGAGGCUUCCUCACUCUACCUGAUGAAACCCUCUGUGUCUGUCAGUACCGUCAAAGCACAGAGAAGCGCACAGCCCCACACAGGCCCCUGGUUCUUCCUAUCAGCUCUGUGAUUAGAGACCAGAUCACCAAAUUACAGGCAGAUGACCUCAGUUGCUGACUGAAUCUGUCGGGGCUCACUGUUUAGUGUUUUUGAACCCUUUCGUGAAAGACCAGAGUCUCUUUCCUUCCCUUCCUGUCUGGUUUGCAUCACUGACAAAUUCCAUUUCUCCUCUCUUGAAAAAGACAUUCUUCUUUGGCCCGCUCCCUGUGAGAGAACACAAACCACUCCAAGAUGAGCUGGAAUGCAGCCUUCAUCAUAGGACGAUGAUCUUUUCCAACUGUAUUCAAGUCUGGAGUUCUUCGGGUAAAAAUUAAUCUUCCUGUGGACUCCAGAGGGCCCAUGGGAUUUUCCUUUUGGAUUAGAUGGAUGGUGGCAAGGUAAGCCUGAAGUUUCUCUUCAUGUUAUUACCUAUUAUUUUCUCUGGAAGGGAGGUUUGAAGAGCCCCUUGACUGUGCAGUGGGCAUUGGGAAUUAAGAGAAUGUUUAUUUUCAAUGGCAUGUUCUCAAAGAAAUAUAUAGGCAACUGUCAAAUUCCCUAACCUCCUUAAGCAUCAAGUUCAUAAGUUCUAAAAUGUAUGUAUUUAUAGUACCAUAUUCUAUUUUCCAGGAUUGGUGUGGGAUUAAAAUGAAAUAAUUCAUAUAAAGUCCUAAGCAUAUUGCCUGGGAUUUGGUGAAUGCUUUAAUGUCAGCAGCUACAUAACCAUAUUGAUAAUGUAU